rnacentral:rRNA from 1 species
UACGUAGGCAGCAAGCGUUGUUCGGAAUUACUGGGCGUAAAGAGUGUGUAGGCGGGCGGGCAAGUACCUUGUGAAAUCCCACGGCUUAACCGUGGAACUGCUUGGUAUACUGGCGGUCUUGAGCCAGCUAGGGGCUACCGGAACAAAUGGUGGAGCGGUGAAAUGCGUAGAUAUCAUUUGGAACGCCAAUGGUGAAAACAGGUAGCUGGGGCUGUGCUGACACUGAGACACGAAAGCCAGGGGAGCAAACGGG